GGCGGCAGUCCUCCAGAAGCUUUCCCCAUGCCAGCUGCCACAAAAGAGAGCUGCGGAGGGCCGGGAACUCUGGUGGAAACAAUAGAACUCCACCUCAAAGGUGCUGACACUUCAACUAGGAGAACUGACAAAGGAUACAGGCUUUAAUUUUCCUGGAAAAACAGUGAAGUUUCUUUGCAGAGGAAAUAUGGCAGGGAGAAGCCAAGAGAUCAGGUGGAGGCUGUGACUCAGUUCACAGGAAAUAAUUAAGAUCUGGAUAUGGACACAUCCUUGGCUUAAAGAAUAACUUUCCCAGAAGUCGUGUGCUUCUUUCCCUACCUCCAGCUCCUGGACGAUGACUUCCUUAUUCUCUAUGUCUUUCCCUCUAGAAGGUAAACAGAUCAGAGCUUGCUUUCUGUGAGGGAAGCCAGCUCCCAUGUCGAGCUGCCCUGUGGGAAGGCCCACAUGACAAGAAACUAAUCGCUCCUGCCAACAGCCUACAAGAACCUGAGGUCCUUGGUCCAGCAGCCCGCAAGGAACUGAAACCUGCCAACAACCUUGCGAGGAGGCUUAGAAGUGGACUCUCUGAGGCCCGCGGACAGCCAGUGAGUGAGCUUGGAAGCUAAUGUCCCCGCCCCAGGUGACCUUCCCAGUGAUGCAGCCUUGGCCAACACUCUGACUGGAGUUCAUGGAAGACCGUGAGCCAGAUGACCCACCCUGAGCCAUGCCCAGAUUCUUGCCCCCACAAAAACUGCGAGAUGCUAAGACAUUUGUCAGUUAAGCCACGACAUUUUGGAGCAAUUUGCAGAGCAGUGAUAGAUACAUUCAGAAAUAAACUCCGAGGAUAUAUUCAACCAUGUUGAAGCCUUAUGCUAUAAUAGUAACUGUGUUUACAAAUUUGAGGAUUCACAGAUAUUAGCUCAUAUCCCUUCCCAAGAAUCCUACAACAUCUUCACCCACUCCUUUUCUUUUUUCUAUUUUUAAAUAAACAUAAUAUCAAACUAUA